rnacentral:rRNA from 1 species
CGCAUCUGUGCAUGCAGCAUAUCAAUAAGCGGAGGAAAAGAAACUAACAAGGAUUCCCUUAGUAACGGCGAGUGAAGCGGGAAGAGCUCAAAUUUGAAAUCUUCAAGGUUUUACCUUGACGAAUUGUAGUUUAAAGAAGUGUUUUCUGUUGAAGUUUUGGUAAAAGUUCUUUGGAAUAGGACAUCAUAGAGGGUGAGAAUCCCGUAUUUGACCAUUAUUUUCAGCUGUGUGAUACACUUUCAAAGAGUCGGAUUGUUUGGGAAUGCAGUCCAAAAUGGGUGGUAAAUUUCAUCUAAAGCUAAAUAUUGGCGAGAGACCGAUAGCGAACAAGUACCGUGAGGGAAAGGAUGAAAAGAACUUUGAAAAGAGAGUUAAACAGUACGUGAAAUUGUCAAAAGGGAAGCGUUUGACACCAGUGUUGUUUUCUCGAAAAUCAAUUAAAAAGAGUUAGAUUUUGUUGUGUAUUGACCUUAACAGCUUGCAUUUCAAUUUUCUUGCUUUUUUUAAUGCACUUUUCGUUUAACAAGUCAACAUCAGUUUCUUUUGUUGUAAAAAGGUCAUUGGAAGGUGGCUUUCUUUUCGGAGAAAGUGUUUAUAGCCUUUGACUCCUGCAAUCGGAGAGACUGAGGUCUGCAGCGUAGAUCCUUCGGGGUUAGAUACAUUUGUGCUAGGUUAUAGCUUUUUAUAGACAACUUGUUGACUAUGAUUAGUCUUGUAGCUUACUCGCUUAUGCUAUUUUACCUACGCUUAGGAUGUUGAUGUGAUACUGCGAGC